GACAGAGGGUGCAAACGUUGUUCGGAUUUACUGGGCGUAAAGCGCGUGUAGGCGGCUUUGCAAGUCGGAUGUGAAAUCCCACGGCUCAACCGUGGAAGUGCAUCCGAAACUGCAUCGCUGGAGUCUCGGAGAGGAAGGUAGAAUGCUUGGUGUAGAGGUGAAAUUCGUAGAUAUCAAGCAGAACACCUGCGGCGAAGGCGGCCUUCUGGACGAUGACUGACGCUGAGACGCGAAAGCGUGGGGAGCAAACAGG
rnacentral:rRNA from 1 species